AAUCAACGCUGGCGGCGUGCCUAACACAUGCAAGUCGAACGCGAAAGUUCCUUCGGGGAUGAGUAGAGUGGCGUCCGGGUGAGUAACGCGUGGGUAAUCUACCCUUGGGUGGGGAAUAACUAGUCGAAAGAUUAGCUAAUACCGCAUAAUGCAGCGGCUCGAUAUCGAGACAGUUGUUAAAGCAGAAAUGCGCCUAAGGAGGAGCCUGCGUCUGAUUAGCUUGUUGGUGAGGUGAUGGCUCACCAAGGCUGCGAUCAGUAGCUGGUCUGAGAGGACGGCCAGCCACAAUGGCACUGAAACACGGGCCAUACUCCUACGGGAGGCAGCAGUGGGGAAUUUUUGCG
rnacentral:rRNA from 1 species